rnacentral:rRNA from 1 species
AUUAAACGCUGGCGGCAUGCCUUACACAUGCAAGUCGAACGGCAGCACGGGGGCAACCCUGGUGGCGAGUGGCGGACGGGUGAGUAAAGCAUCGGAACGUGCCAUUGAGUGGGGGAUAACGUAGCGAAAGUUACGCUAAUACCGCAUAUUCUGUGAGCAGGAAAGCAGGGGGACCGCAAGGCCUUGCGCUCUUUGAGCGGCCGAUGUCAGAUUAGCUAGUUGGUGAGGUAAAGGCUUACCAAGGCGACGAUCUGUAGCGGGUCUGAGAGGAUGAUCCGCCACACUGGAACUGAGACACGGUCCAGACUCCUACGGGAGGCAGCAGUGGGGAAUUUUGGGACAAUGGGCGCAAGCCUGAUCCAGCCAUGCCGCGUGAGUGAAGAAGGCCUUGGGUUGUAAAGCUCUUUCGGUCCGGGUAAGAAAUACGCAUGGGUUAAUACCCUGUGUGGAUGACGGUACCGGAAUAAGAAGCACGGCUAACUACGUGCCAGCAGCCGCGGUAAUCG